rnacentral:rRNA from 1 species
GACGAACGCUGGCGGCGUGCUUAACACAUGCAAGUCGAACGGAAAGGCCCUGCUUUUGUGGGUUGCUCGAGUGGCGAACGGGUGAGUAACACGUGAGUAACCUGCCCUUGACUUUGGGAUAACUUCAGGAAACUGGGGCUAAUACCGGAUAGGAGCUCCUGCUGCAUGGUGGGGGUUGGAAAGUUUCGGCGGUUGGGGAUGGACUCGCGGCUUAUCCGCUUGUUGGUGGGGUAGUGGCUUACCAAGGCUUUGACGGGUAGCCGGCAUGAGAGGGUGAACGGGGACAUUGGGACUGAGAUACGGCGCAGACUCGUACGGGAGGCAGCAGUGGGGAAUAUGGCACAAUGGGGGGAAGCCUGAUGCAGAAACGCCGGGUGCGGGAUGACGGCCUUCGGGUUGUAAACCGCUUUCGCCUGUGACGAAGCGUGAGUGACGGUAAUGGGUAAAGAAGCACCGGCUAACUACGUG